UCUGGGAGGACCGGGACGGUGGUUGAGGGCCAGCCCAGACAGAUGCAAAGAGAAGGGUCUCGGACGUAUCCAGGAAGACAAGGGUAGGACGUCGAAUCCUGCAGUCUACUUAGCUGAAAGACAAGGAGCUUCCGCCACAGGGGGCAGAAGAGCUUAGAGACGCUCCAGAGGGUCGUCAGCAUCGACUUCCCUGCCCCGAACUUGCCUCCACCCCAAGAACCGACGAUGGCCGGGCCCCCAGACAGAAAAAGAACAAGACAGAAAAAAAAAAUUCAGUAAAACCAGCAAGCAUGUAAGAAAAUCUGAUGUUAUAGGCAAUAUUGCACAGCUUUGGGAACCUAUUUCUCUACAGGAGUAGCAGAGGAAAAUUCUGGAAGAGAUAACAAGAAAUGACUGAUAAACAAAUUCAAGUUCCAAAAAGAAAUGGAGGAAAUGAUAACA